rnacentral:rRNA from 1 species
CAACAGGGAUUGCCUUAGUAACGGCGAGUGAAGCGGCAAAAGCUCAGAUUUGAAAUCUAGCGUCUUAUAGGCGUUCGAGUUGUAAUCUGUAGAGAAGUUAUCGAGUGUGGAUUUGGCCUAAGUUCUUUGGAACAGGACGUCAUAGAGGGUGAGAACCCCGUAUACGGCCUUGGUCUUAUACUCAUGUGAGGCUUCUUCAACGAGUCGAGUUGUUUGGGAAUGCAGCUCUAAAUGGGUGGUAAACUCCAUCUAAAGCUAAAUACUGGCAAGAGACCGAUAGCGCACAAGUAGAGUGAUCGAAAGAUGAAAAGAACUCUGAACAGAGAGUUAAAUAGUACGUGAAAUUGUUGAAAGGGAAGCACUUGCUACCAGACUCGCUUGCAGUUAAUCAACUAUCCUUCUGGGUGGUGCACUUUUCUGUAGGCGGGCCAGCAUCAGUUGUGUUGGUGGGAUAAAGGCAGUUGGAAUGUGGCUCUCCUCGGAGAGUGUUAUAGACUUCUGUGUAAUACCAUCUAACGCGACUGAGUCAGCGC